UAAUAUAUCGGAACGUACCCAAGAGUGGGGGAGUAACGUAGCGAAAGUUACGCUAAUACCGCAUACGAUCUAAGGAUGAAAGCAGGGGACCGCAAGGCCUUGUGCUCCUGGAGCGGCCGAUAUCUGAUUAGCUAGUUGGUAGGGUAAAGGCCUACCAAGGCAUCGAUCAGUAGCUGGUCUGAGAGGACGACCAGCCACACUGGAACUGAGACACGGUCCAG
rnacentral:rRNA from 1 species